CGGAACGUGUCCUGUAGUGGGGGAUAGCCCGGCGAAAGCCGGAUUAAUACCGCAUACGCUCUACGGAGGAAAGGGGGGGAUCUUAGGACCUCUCGCUACAGGGGCGGCCGAUGGCAGAUUAGCUAGUUGGUGGGGUAAAGGCCUACCAAGGCGACGAUCUGUAGCUGGUCUGAGAGGACGACCAGCCACACUGGGACUGAGACACGGCCCAGACUCCUACGGGAGGCAGCAGUGGGGAAUUUUGGACAAUGGGCGCAAGCCUGAUCCAGCAAUGCCGCGUGUGUGAAGAAGGCCUUCGGGUUGUAAAGCACUUUUGUCCGGAAAGAAAUCCUUUGGGCUAAUACCCUGAGGGGAUGACGGUACCGGAAGAAUAAGCACCGGCUAACUACGUGCCAGCAGCCGCGGUAAUACGUAGGGUGCAAGCGUUAAUCGGAAUUACUGGGCGUAAAGCGUGCGCAGGCGGUCCGCUAAGACAGAUGUGAAAUCCCCGGGCUUAACCUGGGAACUGCAUUUGUGACUGGCGGGCUAGAGUAUGGCAGAGGGGGGUAGAAUUCCACGUGUAGCAGUGAAAUGCGUAGAGAUGUGGAGGAAUACCGAUGGCGAAGGCAGCCCCCUGGGCCAAUACUGACGCUCA
rnacentral:rRNA from 1 species